rfam:Termitomyces sp. J132 unplaced genomic scaffold scaffold29, whole genome shotgun sequence.
GCCUUCUUGGCUCAGUUGGCUAGAGCGCAGGUCUCAUAGAAAUGUGACAUAAGAAUUGUUACGUAAUCCUGAGGUCGCAAGUUCGAGCCUUGCAGAGGGCA